rnacentral:rRNA from 1 species
AGCGGCAGGCUUAACACAUGCAAGUCGAGGGGCAGCACGGGUAGCAAUACCUGGUGGCGACCGGCGCAAGGGUGCGUAACGCGUGAGCAACAUGCCCUAUACAGGGGGAUAAUCCAGGGAAACUUGGCCUAAUAUCCCAUAGUAUUUAGAGGAGGCAUCUUCUAUAAAUUAAAGCUUCGGUGGUAUAGGAUUGGCUCGCGUGACAUUAGCUAGAUGGUGAGGUAACGGCUCACCAUGGCAAUGAUGUCUAGGGGUUCUGAGAGGAAGGCCCCCCACACUGGGACUGAGACACGGCCCAGACUCCUACGGGAGGCAGCAGUGAGGAAUAUUGGACAAUGGAUGGAAAUCUGAUCCAGCCAUGCCGCGUGCAGGAAGACAGCCCUAUGGGUUGUAAACUGCUUUUAUAUGGGAGCAAUAAGGUCUACGUGUAGACUGAUGAGAGUACCAUAUGAAUAAGCAUCGGCUAACUCCGUG